rnacentral:rRNA from 1 species
CCUACGGGAGGCAGCAGUAAGGGAUAUUGGUCAAUGGGGGAAACCCUGAACCAGCAACGCCGCGUGAGGGAAGACGGUUUUCGGAUUGUAAACCUCUGUCCUCUGUGAAGAUGAUGACGGUAGCAGAGGAGGAAGCCCCGGCUAACUACGUGCCAGCAGCCGCGGUAAUACGUAGGGAGCGAGCGUUGUCCGGAUUUACUGGGUGUAAAGGGUGCGUAGGCGGCUUGGCAAGUCAGUAGUGAAAUCCAUGGGCUUAACCCAUGAACUGCUAUUGAAACUGUCGAGCGUGAGUGAAGUAGAGGUAGGCGGAAUUCCCGGUGUAGCGGUGAAAUGCGUAGAGAUCGGGAGGAACACCAGUGGCGAAGGCGGCCGACUGGGCUUUAACUGACGCUGAGGCACGAAAGCGUGGGGAGCAAACAGGAUUAGAUACCCUUGUAGUC